CAAAUCCCUGAUUUGCUCUUGUUUGUUUUAUUUAUACCACAGGAGGGAUGUACAUUUCAAAAUACAGUUAUAAAGAGUUACUAACAAUUCAGAAGAAUAUUUGUUUACAGAAAUAACUGAGAAGGAGAAAACCAGGAAAAAAAAAGCCCCAUCCCUUUUGUGGAGCCUUCUUCGGAAGUUCAGGAAUUCCAACAGAGUGAUCUUCUGGCAUAAACUGGUUUUUCAAGAGACAUUCCUGCCAUUAUGAAUGAAGUAGCAAUAGUGAAGGAAGGGUGGCUUCACAAACGAGGAGAAUACAUAAAAACAUGGAGGCCACGGUAUUUUCUUUUAAAGAACGAUGGCACGUUCAUUGGCUACAAGGAACGACCGCAGGAUGUUGACCAGCGGGAAUCACCUUUAAAUAACUUCUCAGUAGCUCAGUGCCAGCUGAUGAAGACAGAACGACCUAAACCAAACACAUUUAUCAUUAGAUGCCUCCAGUGGACCACAGUAAUUGAAAGAACAUUUCAUGUGGAGACUCCAGAGGAGCGGGAAGAAUGGACAAAAGCCAUCCAAACAGUAGCAGACAGCCUCAAGAAACAAGAGGAAGAGAUGAUGGAUUUUAGAUCUGGCUCUCCUAGUGAUAAUUCAGGUGCUGAAGAAAUGGAAGUCUCUAUGACAAAGCCAAAACACAAAGUGACCAUGAAUGAGUUUGAAUACCUUAAACUACUGGGAAAAGGCACUUUUGGAAAGGUCAUUUUAGUUAAAGAAAAAGCAACCGGACGGUAUUAUGCUAUGAAAAUUCUGAAGAAGGAAGUUAUUGUUGCAAAGGAUGAAGUAGCGCACACGCUGACAGAAAACCGUGUUUUACAGAACUCGCGGCAUCCAUUCCUAACAGCUUUAAAGUAUUCCUUUCAGACACAUGAUCGCUUGUGUUUUGUUAUGGAGUAUGCUAAUGGAGGAGAGUUGUUUUUCCAUCUGUCAAGAGAGCGUGUCUUUUCUGAAGACCGGGCUCGGUUUUACGGAGCUGAGAUUGUUUCAGCACUGGAUUACCUGCAUUCAGAGAAGAAUGUGGUUUAUAGAGAUUUGAAGUUGGAAAAUCUUAUGCUAGAUAAAGAUGGACACAUAAAAAUAACAGAUUUUGGACUAUGUAAAGAAGGCAUCAAGGAUGGAGCAACAAUGAAGACUUUCUGUGGCACUCCAGAGUAUCUUGCACCAGAGGUGCUGGAAGAUAAUGACUAUGGUCGUGCAGUGGACUGGUGGGGUUUAGGAGUUGUGAUGUAUGAAAUGAUGUGUGGCCGGCUCCCUUUCUACAAUCAGGACCAUGAAAAGCUCUUUGAACUCAUCCUCAUGGAGGAGAUUAGAUUUCCACGCACUUUGUCACCUGAAGCAAAAUCUCUCUUGUCAGGUUUGCUGAAGAAAGAUCCUAAGCAAAGGUUAGGUGGCGGUCCUGAUGAUGCCAAGGAGAUUAUGCAGCACAAAUUCUUUGCUGGCAUUGUUUGGCAAGAUGUAUACGAGAAAAAGCUUGUACCUCUGUUUAAGCCACAAGUUACAUCUGAAACAGAUACAAGAUACUUUGAUGAAGAAUUUACAGCACAGAUGAUAACAAUCACUCCUCCUGACCAAGAUGACAGCAUGGAUUGUGUAGAUAACGAGAGAAGACCUCAUUUUCCUCAGUUCUCCUAUUCAGCCAGUGGAACCGCUUAACGUUUUGCAAUGUUUUCCCAUUCAGAAACAAAACAGACUGCAUUUUGGGGACCUUACUUCAAUGGACACUAGAGAACUUUCUAUAUUAUCUGAAUUACAAACUGUGUUUGUAUUACGAUUUAGAUGAAUUUGUAGGAAGCCUCACAGAUUCUGUAUUUAAAACAAUUCUUUGAUGCAUUUUUGAGAAGGAAAACAAAUCCAUUCUUAAAGUAUUACGUCAAGGCUUUUAUGCUGAAUGACCAUAGGUUUUUAAGAAUAUACACCAAAACUGUUUACUUUAGAAAUAAUUAAGGUAUUCAACAUAUCAGCAACUCUGACCAGAAAAUCCCCUUAUUUUAUUUAUUUCAUACUGUUCAUUAUCUAAAUAUAGAAUCUGCACUCUGAACAAUUAGAUUUAUAUAGGAAGAUAUAAAACUUUAGUAGCUAGUGCAAUAAUAUAAGCAACAAAGUGAACAAACUCUGGAGGGUUAAGGUUCAAACUCAUUUUGGACAGCAGUGAAGUGUCAUCAAACUCCAGAAAACCAACUAUAGGAACAGCAUUAAUGGCCUCAGUGAGCCUUCAUCUGAGUUUCCAGCCAGCCCAGGGACGAAGUCCAAAGAACUCUUCUGCAAGUCUACAAGCCCUGACAAGUACUGAACUAACCCACUUUGUACAUCCAAAUAUAGGCAACACGAAUGAGCAAAGGUUACUGUAAUCUGCCCCAGGAAAAGCUGGUCUUUCAAAUGCAGGAACAGACAUGGAUCCGGUGGUUCUGCUGAGACUGAUUCUGUCCUCAGAACGGUAUUUUUCUGCCAUUUCUUGCUAAUGGAUUUUUGUUUUAAUUCCCAUAUCUGAAAUGGAACUUAAAAAAAGCUGUCAGAAAAGUCUGGGAAUCUUACUAUUGUUACCAACAGUGAGCUCUGAGAGGGCCACACCUGAAUACAGGGUCUUCUGGCUAUUUUCCCUCAUUUUGCCUGUGAUUAUUCAAAACGCCUUGCCUGUUGUCUGUAAUUGAAUGAUUACUGGUGUUACAGAUACCUGCCUGCAAACAUAAAAUGUGUUAAAUUUUGAUUUAGCACAGAAAAUCCUGUCACAAAACUCUGUGACCUGACUUGUUCACAUCAGAUUGCUUUUAUACCAUAUAUGCAGAGACUGCUUAAAUCCUGUAUGUUCCUUUAGCUCUUUUAUUUUAACCCCCCCCAACUUUUCUAUCUGUACAGCCAAAACCUCCUCCUUGUUCCUGCUGGCAUUGACAGAUUGCUCUGGUGUUUCACAUUGCAGCAAAGGUGGUGUAUCCCAGGUGCUGGACACUGGUAGUGUAGGUAUGUUAAAGCCCAGGAAUUGGGUUGUAAACUCAGGCUGGGAGAAAAAUUGAAAAAAAAAAACCCCAAACUUUUGCAAAUAAGUAACAUUUUCUUCCCCCACCUUCACCCCUCCAGCAGGUACCUCCCGGUGCUCUCCAGCUGUGGCACUGCUCUCAUGCAGGCCUCGAGUAUCUCGGCUGCUAUUUGAAUUUGUGCCUGGUUUUCCACAUGAGAAACAAAGUACCAUAGUUUUUGCAGGGUUGAGGUAAAAACUUUCCUUUGUUGAAUUGGAUGAUCUUUGCUUUAACUGGGGGUGAAUUUUCUUGUUUGCUACUUUGGAUUGCUUACAUGCAUUUAAAUGCUCAGUACAAGAAUACUGUAUUCAUACUAACCCCACUGUUUGUGGAGUUUAUUUUAAAUGUUUGUCAGAGAAAAUGCCCUUUUUUAUUUUAGAGAGUGUAUGCUAAGUCAGAUUUUUAUCUGCAGUAGCAGGGUUUAGAAUGGUGGUCCCAAAUUAGAGGUCACAACCUAUAGUGGGAAUGAAACUCCAAGGAGUUUCAGAAGAGAAGCCCAGACAUGCGAAGCGCCUGGGAGCUGAUGGGUUUUCUGCCCAAGAAGUUAGGGAAAUGGUAAUUGAGGGGGGAGGUUUGAUUUAUUUUACUGUAUCUAAAAAGAGCUUCAGAGGUGAAAACACAUUUGAAGAAAUGGGCGAGCGUAAAAGGAUCUUGUUUCUUCAGUGUUGCAAAUGAGUGUUUGUCUUCUACUUUUAGCUCAAUUUUCUUAAUAACAGGGAGGUUAAUUGCCACUAGAAGUAAAACGAAAAGAACACACAGUGCCUAUAGCAAAUGGGAGCUUAUUAUCCCCAAUGCAGCUGAGUGUACAGACGUUUGGUAGCUCUGUCUAAUGGAACAUAUGUUGCAUUCUAAUCAGGUGAUGACUAGUUGCUGUCUCUGAAAUAAUUUUAAACAAAACCAUUUUGUUACAGUAGUCCCUGCAUGCCACUUUUUUCCUCGUUUUUUUUUGUUUUUUUUUUUUUUAAUUUUCUGCUAUCACCAUCUUAGUUUUUUGAGCAUGGUGGGUUCUUUCUUGAGGACCAGAUCAAGGACUUUGUAUGUGAAAACACUUACUUCACUCUAUAGUUUUUCAGUGUGCUUGUAGCUCAGUUCUGUUUCUCUUUCGCUGAAGCACUGCUUCAUGUGGUUGUCUGCAUGUUACUGCUCACUACCUGUUUCUCUAGGAAUGGACUUUAUGAACUUCUUCCUGUGUUAAAUGUAACCCUGGUUCUAUGCUAAGAUUCCAUUUUUAUUAAUCUUUCCACACUGUUUCUUCAUGUCUUCUGUCAUAUGACUGUAUCUGCUUGUAUUUUGCAUCUUCAUCGGGUCUUAGAGUUUGUUUCAAGAAGAUAAUGGUAACACCCAACAGCAGUUGCUGUAAUUUCUGAAUUCUGAGGGUCUAAUUCUGCACAUUUUAAAAAUAAUACAUAACUUUCACCCCACAGAAGAUACUAUAAAUCGAGUAAAAGAGUGAAAAUUCUUUGCAGAAACAGGAGGACACGAUCCCUACCCCAGAUAUUGUGAUCUUUAGUUAUUUGUAAACUCAGCUGUACCCAUUUCCUUGCACUAUUGAUGCUGCUAGCCUGAAAACUGCUUUGUAUUACUGGGAAAGCCUAUAUCAGAACAAAAAAUAGUGAUUGUGAUCUUCAGCAUAGUGCCUGGGAAUUAAUUAAAAUUGGAUUAAAAUGAUCAUAAAAUAUAUACUUAAACAUUAUAUUGUUUUGGAAAAUGACAAAACCAGUAAUGCUGUUCUUGCUUCAUCUUACUGAAGUACAGUAAUUGGGACAAACUGGACUCCUUGGGGGAAGCCUUGCUGACCAUGCUUGGAGUAGGGGCACUGGGCUAGACAACCUCCAGAAAUACCUGCAAACCUCAACUAGUCUGUGAGUCCAUUUAAUGAUUUAGCUCCUGGAUUUGAAAGCAUGUGCUUUAGUGAAGGAGGUUCUUCAUGUUUGUUUGUUUGGGGUUUUUUCCUGUCAUCUUUAUACUUCCAGACUGACACAACCUGUCUAUGACUUUCAUACAGUCUAGGUGACAGCACCAGCCUUGUUUUGAGAUGCUUCUAGUAGUACAAAUCUUGCAUUUUUCUCAUUUUCUUUUAUGUCAUUGGCC